UACGAAGGUGACUAGCGUUGUUCGGAAUCAUUGGGCGUAAAGCGCACGUAGGCGGGUUUGAAAGUCGAUUGUGAAAACCCUGGGCUUAACCCGGGACGUGCAGUCGAAACUUCAAGUCUUGAAUACUCGAGAGGAUGGUGGAAUUCCAGGAGUAGAAGUGAAAUUCGUAGAUAUCUGGAGGAACACCGGAGGCGAAAGCGGCCAUCUGGCGAGUUAUUGACGCUAAGGUGCGAAAGCGUGGGGAUCAAACAGG
rnacentral:rRNA from 1 species